AGUUCGAGUGAUGGACACCAGGGAUCCUAAUCCAAGCCUCCAGCAUGGCUCCUGAUGACACCCACCCACUCCCUGCACAUCACCAGUACAUCUGAUGGAGGUUUUGGCAAAGUCUUCUCCUUUACAGAAGUUGGAAAGGACUUUGGAGGUCAUCUCUAACCCACUCCCUGCUCAAUGUAGCUACAACAUCCCUGACAAAUGGGUCUCUGCUUCAAUGCUUUCAGCAAGUCCUGACAGUCUGUUUCAUUGCCAAGCAGCUUUUACUGUUAGGAAGUUUAUCCCAAUGCUUCACAGAAAUCUGCUUUCAUGCAGUUUCUACCCACUGGUUUCAGUGUUGGCCCCUGGAGCAGCAGAAAAGUAGUCUCAAUCUUCUGCAUGGCAGCCCUCUGCUGGCACCAAAAUGUAGGCAAAGCAUCUUCCCACUAUUUCAGAGCAAGAAGUACCGCCGAGUGAGCAGCAACUGAAUUGGGUGAAGGGAGGGCUCCAUCUGUGGCUGCUGUCCCAGGGGAUGAGAGGAAAGAAAGCCUUUGCGUUCACCUACUUCAUGUGGGAGUGAAGGGACAAAAGGACAAAGGCAAUCAGUGCAAUAAAAUGUGACUCACUGAAGAUUUUUGUACUAGUGGGCUUUGUCCUUUUGUUUUUCUGUUGUGUGGUACAAUCUUCUAGCUUUAUGUGGAAGUGGGUCAGUGAAGUCAAUGUCGGUCGCCCUUCAGUCCUACUCCAUUCAAAAGACUGUCCAUUCUAAAAAAUAGUUGCUAACCAGAGGACAAGGGUCUAUAAAAACAUGCUUCAAGAUCUUGUUAGCCCCAUUACUUUGUGUCUUAUUAAAGAGCAUUUUAUUUCCUUGCCAUGUCUUGUAAAAGUGGUGUAGGAAAAGGUUGUGCCUUCUAGCAUGAAGACAUGUAGGGUAACUAUUUGAGGCUGGACCUCUUUUAUGUGGAACUUAUUAUGUAACCAAUUAAAGGAUAAUACUAUGGACUACUGACUUAA